AGAAAACUGAAAAAUACGACUACAAAUAAUAUUUUCUCCAAUGAUUAAAAUUACAGUAUAAUUUUAUCUUAUCUGAAAUUGCAAAAGAAGCCCCUGAAUUAAGUACAAAUUCCAAAACAGGGGACGGAAGACAUUUUUAUGCGAAAACCAGAGGAGAGAGAAUCUGCGAAGCCUCGUCAAAGUGUUGGUUUUGGCUUGGCUAUGUCCUCACUUCUGCGUCCUCCACUCAAUUUUUGAGUUUCAUUUACCUACUUUCUCUCUCCUCUUCUAGGGUUUUUCGCCGCUCUUCUCAUCGGCGAUGCUCUUAUCUUUCUCUCUCCUCUCAUUCGCUUUUCUGCAUUCAGUUUUCAGUUUCAAUUCGAUUCAAUUAUCUGAUUAGGGAGAAUAUAGCUCAGAAGUGGCGGAGCUGCUUUGCCUUUUAUUGGGCGGAUUUUGACUAUGAUGGAAGACAACAAUCAGAUUAAAUGCAACAAUAAUAACAGUAGUAAUAGGAACCGAGUUCCUUUAAUGGAUGAUGGAGAACUUGAAUUUUCAAACCAAGAGCUCCUUUCUAGUGCAAACAUUGGCGAGAUUCCCAGUAGUGGAUCAAUGGACAGUUUCUUUGAUGAACUACUGAGAGAUACUCACGCUUGUACCCAUACCCACACUUGUAACCCUCCAGGGCCUGAUUUAUCGCAUACGCACACCUGUUUUCACGUGCACACUAAAAUCCUGCCCCCUUCCAGUGAAGAGAAGAGUGGUAACAAUGACGAUUCUGCUGAAUCCGGGGAACAUAGAACUAGGAAGCGAGGGAGGGAGCGUGGGGGUAAUAGAGAAGCUGUUCGCAAGUAUCGUCAGAAGAAGAAAGCUCAUGCAGCCUCUUUGGAGGACGAGGUUGUUAAAUUGAGGACUUUGAAUCAGCAAUUGUUAAAGAGGUUGCAAGGUCAGGCUGUUUUGGAAGCUGAGAUUGCCAGGCUUAAAUGUCUGCUUGUUGACAUUAGGGGAAGAAUUGAAGGAGAGAUUGGUUCUUUUCCGUAUCAGAGACCAGUCAAGAGUGGGGAUAUGUAUCAGAAUAUUGCCAACACUAACUUGCCUGGUUCGUAUAUGAUUCCAUGCAAUGCUGGUCAGUGUGGUGAUCAGAUUUAUUGUCUCCAUCCUGGCUCCGAUGGAAAAGCUGGGGAAGGUGCAGCCUUAAAUGGUCAAGAUCUUAAUGGUUGUGAUUAUGAGAACUGCAUGGCUAGUCUCGGAUCUGCACCAAAGGACCUUUUCAGUUGUGGAACAAAUGCGACCACCACUGGUGGUUCAUCUGGCAAUACUAGGAGAAAAAGCGUGAUUGAAGGAUCGUACUAGAGAGCCUGUUGGGUGUAGCCAUAUAGGCUUAUCACCAGCGUAGAAAAGGUACACUGAAGUGUUUCAAGCAGCAAACACUAUCGUUUUGUUUGAUGAUGGGAUUUCAUAGCUAACUAUGAAGCACUAGCAAGUUAGAUGGCCACUACCGAUGCUAAGGAGGUAUGAAGCUGGGAUAUCCUAGAAAUGCUUUCACCUCACAGCAGAGAUAUCUAUCUUCAGCUCACUCUGUUUUCUGAUUAUCGCUUCUGUUCUAUUUCUGUUCAUGUGGUUCUACCAUCUGUAUCAUGUUUCAUUUUAGUUUCUUGGAAUUGUUUAUCCACCCCUUUUUGUAAUUGUACAACAUAUGUUGUUAGGACUUAUUUUCUGGUUGGUUGCAUUUUUUGCUCUUUCAUAUGACUUGAGAUGAGAACUUCUCUAGUCACCUUAGUACAAGGUUUCCAGAAGCUUGCUCAACUUGAAAUAAACUUAUAUACAUGGAGCAGUAUUAUUUUUUUCAAAAUGUAUGUUCAUAAAUCAUAAUGCACUUGCGUUCCAAGUAAA